ACUCGACAGCACAGCCCUGGUCAGCCGGACCUAACAGUGGGAAGAAGUUGUGUCUCGGAGUGGCAGCAUGAGACCGAGAAAAGAAGAGAGGCUGAGCCCAGAGCGCAAAAGUCCUGGCCUGCCCCACAAAGGCCCUGGGAUGCCACUCUGCACACAGAAGGAAACACGGGACUCACAUACGAGAGCAAGCUAAAAAGGAGACUUCCUUGUGGUGCACACCAGCCCCAGAGGGAAGAGUAAGAAAGGGGAACUCCCCCUGGCCCCAUGUUUUCCAGCCAAGCUGUGCCUGUCAGGACAAACAACGCCGAAAAUAAUCGCAGUUGCUUGCCACUCGGAAUAUUAUUAUCGGAACAGUUGGUGGAUAUGAACUGUUUUUAAAACAGGCUAUCAAAAUAAACCCAGAAAGAACAUCUGUGGGGCUGCGGGCUGCAAGUCUGCUGAGGAAGGAAGACAGGAAGCUGUCAGCAUCCCCCUUGGGUAUCUUCCCAGGCAAGGGGACCGCCCCAACCAUUAUCUGGGCUAGCUGGGGGUGGGGGCGGCACAGGGCUUACAUGAAAGAAAGACCAGGUUUGCAGAUAAUCUCUGAGAAAGACACAGAAAUCCAACUUUGGGAAACAAUGAUUUGAAGAACUCCAGACAGUAGGGAGGCCCAGGUACCCCUCAUUCCAUCAGAACUUGGGGCCUGGGUCAGUCUGGAGUGACAGUAUCAGGUGUAAUUUAUAACCAUUGGUUGGAAUCCCAAUUUCUUGUGAUUAUAAAAAUGAAUCAUUGCCUCUCCUUCCUUACCUGUUCAGCCCACUGUAGAGGGGUAUUGGGGUCUAUAAUUCCUGCAUUCGGCUUAUUUUCCUCUUUAAAAAGUUUGUGAGUACGAGAAUAACAAGUGUUUAUUGUUUGAAAGCUUGGAUGAAGAUGAGAGUCAGCAAAGCCUCCAGAAAGUGAGACAUAGCAGAUCCAUGUGGUGGGAUGGGGGCCCAGGGAGCCCCCUCACUCCAGGCAAUUCUGUCCUUCUUGUAGACCUGAGGCAGGGAACAGCUUUCAAAAGAAAUUCUCCAGAGGAGUCUUCCAGGGGCUCUGUUUGUGGUCUCUGUGGUGAUACAAAGGAUUUGUAUACAGUGGCUUCCUUCCCUCUGCUUCACUUUCCCUACACCCUAAAUAAACUUAGAAACCCCUCCUUCCUCUCGAUCAAUUAUCCAUUUUAUUCUCAAAACCAAACAGCGUUUGCUAUUAAUAAAACUGAUCAGAGAAUAUGGCCUAAUUGUGAAGCCAAGAGGGUUUUCAACUGCACCCACUUCCUCAUCACCCUGUAUCUCAAACCUGCCCCUCAUUCUUAACUCAUGAAGUACAAUCAAUUUUAGACAAGAACCCUAUGCAACGGGGUAGCCAAGAAGCAAGUCUCAAUAAAUAAAUAGUGCUAUUUUUAAAAACAAAUAAUAAUUCAUCUCUGGCUGAAUUAAAGGUUCUCUCAUUUCUCCUACUA